UACGGAGGAUGCAAGCGUUAUCCGGAAUGAUUGGGCGUAAAGGGUCCGCAGGUGGCAGUGUAAGUCUGCUGUCAAAGAAUGAGGCUUAACCUUAUCAAGGCAGUGGAAACUACACAGCUAGAGUACGGUCGGGGUAGAAGGAAUUCCUGGUGUAGCGGUGAAAUGCGUAGAGAUCAGGAAGAACACCGGUGGCGAAAGCGUUCUGCUAGACCUGUACUGACACUGAGGGACGGAAGCUAGGGGAGCGAAUGGG
rnacentral:rRNA from 1 species